AGCCCGGUGGUGUAGUCGGUCAAGCAUAGAGGCCUUUGGAGCCUUUGACCCCGGUUCGAAUCCGGGCCGGGCUA
rnacentral:tRNA from 1 species